GACGAACGCUGGCGGCGUGCUUAACACAUGCAAGUCGAACGGAAAGGCCCUGCUUUUGUGGGGUGCUCGAGUGGCGAACGGGUGAGUAACACGUGAGUAACCUGCCCUUGACUUUGGGAUAACUUCAGGAAACUGGGGCUAAUACCGGAUAGGAGCUCCUGCUGCAUGGUGGGGGUUGGAAAGUUUCGGCGGUUGGGGAUGGACUCGCGGCUUAUCAGCUUGUUGGUGGGGUAGUGGCUUACCAAGGCUUUGACGGGUAGCCGGCCUGAGAGGGUGACCGGCCACAUUGGGACUGAGAUACGGCCCAGACUCCUACGGGAGGCAGCAGUGGGGAAUAUUGCACAAUGGGCGGAAGCCUGAUGCAGCAACGCCGCGUGCGGGAUGACGGCCUUCGGGCUGUAAACCGCUUUCGCCUGUGACGAAGCGUGAGUGGCGGUAAUGGGUAAAGAAGCACCGGCUAACUACGUG
rnacentral:rRNA from 1 species